GAUGAACGCUAGCGGCAGGCUUAACACAUGCAAGUCGAGGGGCAUCGGGAGGAAAGCUUGCUUUCCUUGCCGGCGACCGGCGCACGGGUGAGUAACACGUAUGCAACCUGCCCUCUUCAGGGGGACAACCUUCCGAAAGGGAGGCUAAUCCCGCGUAUAUCGGUUUCGGGCAUCCGAGAUCGAGGAAAGAUUCAUCGGAAGAGGAUGGGCAUGCGGCGCAUUAGCUAGACGGCGGGGUAACGGCCCACCGUGGCGACGAUGCGUAGGGGUUCUGAGAGGAAGGUCCCCCACACUGGUACUGAGACACGGACCAG
rnacentral:rRNA from 1 species